GCUUAGACCGGUCUCUGGCAUACUGUAAUUACUGAUUAAUUAGCUGCAACACAAACAUCAGGUGACGCUAUGGUCUGCUGUGUGUCCCUCCCACCAAAACAAUUCCUAUGUUGAAGCCCUAACCCCCAAUGUGACUGUAUUUGGAGACAAGACUUUUAGGAGGCAAUUAAGGUUAAGUGAGGUGGUAAAGGUGGGGUUCUAAUCCAAUAGGAUUGGUGGCCUUGUGGAAGAGAAAGAGCUAGAUUGAGCUCUCUGUGCGUACCCACCAAAGAAAGGCCAUUGAACACCCAGUGAGAUGGUGGCCAUCUGCAAGCCAGGAAGAGAGCUGUCAACACAACCGAGUCAGCCGCAACUUUGACCAGGGUCUUCCAGCCUCCACCACUGGGAGAAAGUAAACGUCUGUUGUUUAAGCUGCCCACUCUACAGUAUUUUGUUAUGGCAGCCGGAGCAGACUAAUCCAGUGACCCAGUGCUAGACACAGUGCUCUGUGACUGGCGGAUGGAUACGUGCAGGCGGAUGGAUACCUCCAGUGCUCAGAGAUAGACACUCGCGCUAUAGCAAGGUGGAAUUCUGAGGGACUCACGCAAGAGGUCACAGCGGAAGUCUGAACACUUACUGCAGUUGGACCUGAGAUCUUGGAGAGGCCUUCUAUGGGCAGCUACCAGGCAUUCUCAGCAGGGAGGUGACAGCGUGGAAACUUAGAAGUGAACAGAACAUCCAGUUUGUUCUCAUAACAACACAAUGUUAGUUUGUACCACGUGUGCUACACAGUACCUAGAAGUCUUCUGGUAACUGCCAAAGCAGUAAAGAAAAUUCCUGAUCCUAUGCCUGAGAGAACUGGAUUUUAAUUCUUCUAUUGUAAAAGAUUUGCUGCCCUAAUGUAGAUUUAUUAAUGCACUACAAAGAUGGGAAGGUUUUUGUUUUUAAUAUAUAGUGUGAGAAUUCAGAGUUCCCAAUACUUUGACUCACACUUUCUCUUUCAUUUUCCGAAGAAUCCAGUUCAACCCCAGUAAUCAUUUAAACAUCGUCCUCUGUUGCUUUCUGGUCAAUCAUCUUCUAUUGCCUCCGUCUCUUGCAGUCAGGGCUCUUUGUAGCUGACAUCUUUUGAAAGUAAUAAUUUCUUACCAGAAGUUCUU
rnacentral:lncRNA from 1 species